rnacentral:rRNA from 1 species
GCAAGUCGAACGGAUUCUUCGGAAUUAGUGGCGGACGGGUGAGUAACGCGUGAGAAUCUGCCCUUAGGUUGGGGACAACAGUUGGAAACGACUGCUAAUACCCAAUGUGCCGAGAGGUGAAAGGUUAACUGCCUGAGGAUGAGCUCGCGUCUGAUUAGCUAGUUGGAGUGGUAACGGCACACCAAGGCGACGAUCAGUAGCUGGUCUGAGAGGAUGAUCAGCCACACUGGGACUGAGACACGGCCCAGACUCCUACGGGAGGCAGCAGUGGGGAAUUUUCCGCAAUGGGCGAAAGCCUGACGGAGCAAGACCGCGUGAGGGAGGAAGGCCUAUUGGUUGUAAACCUCUUUUGAUAGGGAAGAACACAAUGACGGUACCUAUCGAAUCAGCAUCGGCUAACUCCGUGCCAGCAGCCGCGGUAAUACGGAGGAUGCAAGCGUUAUCCGGAUUUAUUGGGCGUAAAGCGUCCGUAGGUGGCAAUCCAAGUCAGUUGUUAAAGCGUAGAGCUUAACUCUAUAACGGCAAUUGAAACUGGAUAGCUAGAGUGCGAUAGGGGCAAGGGGAAUUCCCAGUGUAGCGGUGAAAUGCGUAGAUAUUGGGAAGAACAUCGGUGGCGAAGGCGCCUUGCUGGGUCUGCACUGACACUGAGGGACGAAAGCUAGGGGAGCGAAAGGGANUAGAUACCCCUGUAGUCCUAGCCGUAAACGAUGGAUACUAGGCGUUGUCCGUAUCGACCCGAGCCGUGCCGAA